UGGCUCAGACGGUAAAGUGUCUGCCUGCAAUGCGGGAGACCCGGGUUCAAUUCCUGG
rnacentral:tRNA from 1 species